rnacentral:rRNA from 1 species
AUUGAACGCUGGCGGCAUGCCUUACACCUGCAAGUCGAACGGUAACGCGGGGCAACCUGGCGACGAGUGGCGAACGGGUGAGUAAUAUAUCGGAACGUGCCCAGUAGUGGGGGAUAGCCCGGCGAAAGCCGGAUUAAUACCGCAUACGACCUGAGGGUGAAAGCGGGGGAUCGCAAGACCUCGCGCUAUUGGAGCGGCCGAUAUCAGAUUAGGUAGUUGGUGGGGUAAAGGCCUACCAAGCCGACGAUCUGUAGCUGGUCUGAGAGGACGACCAGCCACACUGGGACUGAGACACGGCCCAGACUCCUACGGGAGGCAGCAGUGGGGAAUUUUGGACAAUGGGCGCAAGCCUGAUCCAGCCAUGCCGCGUGCGGGAAGAAGGCCUUCGGGUUGUAAACCGCUUUUGUCAGGGAAGAAACGCUCUGGGUUAAUACCCUGGGGUAAUGACGGUACCUGAAGAAUAAGCACCGGCUAACUACGUG